rnacentral:lncRNA from 1 species
UAAGGAGAAUCUUAUGAGUGUUCCACGUGAAUUGAUAAGUGUUCUCGGCACCGUAAUGGAUAAUGUCACGAUCGAACUCCCAUGGUCUUCCUAACAAUAAGUGGCUUAUAUCCAUUGGAGCCACAUCACAAUAUAUGCGAUCCUUAUAAUGUGGUCCGAUAGAGAAUGAAACAAUUGCUCGUUGAGAUAUACGGAUGUUUAC